CGAUUUAUCGAGGAAUCGCGUGACAGGUGCUGCAUGGCUGUCGUCAGUUCGUGUCGUGAGAUGUUGGGUUAAGUCCCGCAACGAACGCAACCCCUGUCUUUAGUUACCAGCAUUAAGUUGGGGACUCUAGAGAGACUGCCAAGGUGACAACUUGGAGGAAGGUGGGGACGACGUCAAGUCAUCAUGGUCCUUACGUCCAGGGCUAGAAACGUACUACAAUGGUUGGUACAGAGGGGGGCAACACAGCAAUGUGAAGCAAAUCCUUAAAACCAGCCUCAGUUCGGAUUGGAGUCUGCAACUCGACUCCAUGAAGUUGGAAUCGCUAGUAAUCGCGGAUCAGCAAUGCCGCGGUGAAUACGUUCCCGGGUCUUGUACACACCGCCCGUCAAUUCAA
rnacentral:rRNA from 1 species